GACGAACGCUGGCGGCGUGCCUAAUACAUGCAAGUAGAACGCACAGUUUAUACCGUAGCUUGCUACACCAUAGACUGUGAGUUGCGAACGGGUGAGUAACGCGUAGGUAACCUGCCUGGUAGCGGGGGAUAACUAUUGGAAACGAUAGCUAAUACCGCAUAAUAUUAAUUAUUGCAUGAUAAUUAAUUGAAAGGUGCAAUUGCACCACUACCAGAUGGACCUGCGUUGUAUUAGCUAGUAGGUGAGGUAACGGCUCACCUAGGCGACGAUACAUAGCCGACCUGAGAGGGUGAUCGGCAACACUGGGACUGAGACACGGCCCAGACUCCUACGGGAGGCAGCAGUAGGGAAUCUUCGGCAAUGGACGAAAGUCUGACCGAGCAACGCCGCGUGAGUGAAGAAGGUUUUCGGAUCGUAAAGCUCUGUUGUAAGAGAAGAACGGGUGUGAGAGUGGGAAGUUCACACUGUGACGGUAUCUUACCAGAAAGGGACGGCUAACUACGUG
rnacentral:rRNA from 1 species